rnacentral:rRNA from 1 species
UACGAAGGGGGCGAGCGUUGUUCGGAAUUACUGGGCGUAAAGGGCGCGUAGGCGGCCCCUUUUGUCGCGUGUGAAAGCCCCGGGCUCAACCUGGGAACGGCGCGCGAAACGGGGGGGCUUGAAUCCGGGAGAGGGAUGCAGAAUUCCAGGUGUAGCGGUGAAAUGCGUAGAUAUCUGGAGGAAUACCGGUGGCGAAGGCGGCAUCCUGGACCGGCAUUGACGCUGAGGAGCGAAAGCCAGGGGAGCAAACGGG